rnacentral:SRP_RNA from 1 species
CCGUGCUAGAUGGGGAGCUAGCGGUGCCCUGUACCCGAAAUCCGCUAUAGCGGGGUCGAAUUCCCCCUCGAGGGCUUUGCGCGGGCAGCACUGCCCUGUUAAGUGGCGUUGAAGGCUGGGUCCUGCGCGGCAGGAGCCUGUGAACCCCGUCAGGUCCGGAAGGAAGCAGCGGUAAGCGGUCCCUCCUGGGUGCCGCAGGGUCGCCUGGCCGGAGCCGGCUGGCAGGGACAGGCUGCUAACGGCGGCUCGACAGGGGGUGCACGG